UACGUAGGUGGCAAGCGUUUGUCCGGAUUUAUUGGGUUUAAAGGGUGCGUAGGCGGCCCUGUAAGUCAGUGCUGAAAUACCCCGGCUUAACCGGGGGGGGUGGCAUUGAUACUGCAGGGCUUGAGUACAGAUGAGGUAGGCGGAAUUGACGGUGUAGCGGUGAAAUGCAUAGAUAUCGUCAAGAACACCGAUAGCGAAGGCAGCUUACUGGGCUGUAACUGACGCUGAUGCACGAAAGUGUGGGGAUCAAACAGG
rnacentral:rRNA from 1 species